ACCAAGGCAUCGAUGGCUACGGGGUCUAAAAGGAUGAGCCCGCACACUGGUACUGAGACACGGACCAGACUCCUACGGGAGGCAGCAGUGAGGAAUAUUGGUCAAUGGGUGGAAGCCUGAACCAGCCAUGCCGCGUGCAGGAAAGACGGCCUUAUGGGUUGUAAACUGCUUUUCUACGGGACGAACGGCUCUGACGUGUCACAGAUUGACGGUACCGAAGGAAUAAGCAUCGGCUAACUCCGUGCCAGCAGCCGCGGUAAUACGGAGGAUGCGAGCGUUAUCCGGAUUUAUUAGGUUUAAAGGGUGCGUACGGCUGGGCAAUAAGUCAAGUGGUGAAAGUCCGCGGCUCAACCGUGGGAUUGCCAUUGGAAAACUGUUGGUUCUUGGAGAACAGUCGAGGUAAGGCGGAAUGUGUAAUGUACGCGGUGAAAUGCCUAGAUAUUACCCAGAACACCGAUUGCGUAGGCGGCUUACCAGCCUGGAACUGACGCUUAUGCCCGAAAGCGUGGGGAGCGAACAGGAUUAGAUACCCUGGUAGUCCACGCCGUAAACGAUGAUCACUCGCUGUUGGCAAUAUAGAGUCAGCGGCUGAGCGAAAGCAUUAAGUGAUCCACCUGGGGAGUACGUCGGCAACGAUGAAACUCAAAGGAAUUGACGGGGGCCCGCACAAGCGGUGGAACAUGUGGUUUAAUUCGAUGAUACGCGAGGAACCUUACCUGGGCUUAAAUGUAGCCGGACGAUUCCGGAAACGGGAUUUCCUUAACGGCUGGUUACAAGGUGCUGCAUGGCUGUCGUCAGCUCGUGCCGUGAGGUGUCGGGUUAAGUCCCAUAACGAGCGCAACCCUUAUUCUUAGUUGCCAGCGGGUAGAGCCGGGGACUCUAAGGAGACUGCCACCGUAAGGUGUGAGGAAGGUGGGGAUGACGUCAAGUCAGCACGGCCCUUACGUCCAGGGCUACACACGUGUUACAAUGGCCGGUACAGAAGGCAGCAAACUUGAGAGAGGGCGCGAAUCCAUGAAAGCCGGUCUCAGUUCGGAUUGGAGUCUGCAACCCGACUUCAUGAAGUUGGAAUCGCUAGUAAUCGCGCAUCAGCAAUGGCGCGGUGAAUACGUUCCCGGGCCUUGUACACACCGCCCGUCAAGCCAUGGAAGCCGGGGGUACCUGAAGUCCGUAACCGCAAGGAGCG
rnacentral:rRNA from 1 species